AUGCUAUGGUGUGGACAUUCCCUUUGUAGGUCUUUGUACCUCUCCCAUACAUCAUAAAGUGAUUCUCCUUCCCUUCAUUUAAAAGUAUUAGUUCUAUUCUUAGUUU